rnacentral:lncRNA from 1 species
CCGGGGUUCUGCGCCGUGACCCCGGUGUGACCCCGGGGCUCUGCUCCCUGUCCCCACGGUGUGACCCCGGUGUGACCCCUGCUGUGUCACUGAGGCUCGGUGUUCCCUGUCCCCCCCAAUGUGACACUGCCCUGUCCCCGAGGUUCUCUGUGCUCCCAGUUGACCCCGCUGUGUUCCCGCUGUCCCCGCAGCCGGCGGUGGCCGCUGCCCUGUACCUGCGGCUGGUGCAGGGCCGGGCGGGGCCCGAGGCCCUGGGGGUCCUGCAGCCCCUCCUGGCUCACCUGGAGCAGCACCUGGCCCGGAGCGGCACCUCCCACCUGGCGGGGGUGAGUGGGGGGCCGGGGGGGUUGAACUGGCUACCACCUGCGGGACAGGCGUGUCCCCAGCCCUGUCCCAGCCCUGUCCCAGCUGUGUUCCAGGCAUGUCCCCAGCCCUGUCCCAGCUGCGUCCCGGCCCUGUCCCCAGCCCUGUGCCCGUGGGAGGGGAGGGUGGGAUGCUGCUGACCCCAGUGUGGGAAUGUCCCCAGUGCCUCCCAGUCCACCCAGUGCCACCUGCAGCUCCCAGUGCUGGCUUCAGCUGGCACCACCACCCAGUCCCUCCCAGUGCCCCCAGUUUUUCCCAGUUUGUUUCUGUUCCUGCUACGUGGCACUCCCAAUGCCUCCAGGGCACACUCCCAGUCCCUCCCAGUGCCCCAGUUCACACUCCCAGUGCCUCCCAUUGCCCCCAGUGCACACUCCAAAUCCCUCCCAGUGUCCCCAGUACAUGUUCCCAGUGCCCCCAGUUCACAUUCCCAGUGUCCCAGUUCAUGGUCCCAGUCCCUCAGUUCACAUUCCCAGUCCUUCCCAGUGCCCCAGGUCAUGCUCCCAGUCCCUCCCAGUGUCCCAGUUCACGCUCCCAGUGCCCCCAGUCCCCGCUGUGUCCCCCAGGAUGCCGCCUCGGUGGCUGACGUGGUGGUGUGGGGCAGCCUGUUCCCCGUGCUGCAGGACGAGACCAGCGUGCCCAGUGAGCUGCAGGUGCUGCGCUCCUGGUUCCGCGCCGUGUCCGCCUGGGAGCCGUGCCGGGCCGCGGCCGCGCUGCUGCCGGAGUCGCUGCGGGAGCUGCGGACCCGGCUGGCCCAGCGCCCCCCGGCCCUGCCGGCCCCCCGCCACCUGCCCCAGGUACGCCCCCGGCCCCGGGGGGAGGCGGGGGGGGCAGGU